AACAUAAAAAGAACUUGGGAAGUCAGACAUCACCUGACCUUCAGGAGCAUCAGAAAGUUAGACCGCAGAGCUUUUGGGGUCUAUGGAGAUAGCCUGGAAGCUAUAAUGACAGGUAAACUGCUUAUUUGGUUAAUCCUCCUUAACUGUUUUAAGUCCUUUAUAGAGAUGCAACACCUUCGGGCUGUGCUGCUAGACUUCAGUUGUCUGCUUUGGUCUUCCAGCUCUCUUCUACCCUGUCUUUCCACUUACUCAAUGGAAAAAGACCUUUUUGUUUUCUGAAGGAAAAAAGCAGACAGUAUGGCAUUCCUCUUCACCACUGCAUAUUAGCUGAGGAACUAUUUUCAGUGAGUUUGAUAAAAAUGAGUAUUGCUUGAUGUCUAAUGUAAAUUUAAAUGAAUUAAUGAUAUCUGCUUGGCAUGGAUGAACUUUACAAACAUAAGAAGGUAUGUAAGGCCUUGACACUCUACAAAACAGGCUUAAGAAAGAUUUUAUGAAGAAGCUAAUAUGCAGACUGUGUUAUAGUGAGGCACUAGGGAGGAGAGUAUUCCUCAACAAACUUUUCUCCCCAGUUCCUGCUGGCCGGGCUGGUGUAUGCCUCUUUCUGUGUUUUAGAUUCAUGCCGUUUCAUUCCCAGUCUGGAGCCCCUCUUACUUCACACUUGUGAGAGUUGUGCCUACAGGUUUCCCCUGCUUGAGGUUUAAUACCUUCUGCUGUACUCGCCCACAUCAAGCUGGAUGCAGUGUGAUGGCAACAGUGGAGAAGCCUGUACAGAGCAGCACUUUGGAGGCCUUGCUGAGAAAUAUGAGCCAGGGUACCCAGCCCAGCCUUGCAUGUGGACUUGGAGAAUUACCAGCCUUUCAAGUGACUCUGCUGCUGCAGUUCCAGCUGCCAGGAGCACAGGCAGGAGCAGAGGGAACAUUGCAGGACGGCUGACAUGACCUGAUGCUACAGCACCGUCUGCUGAACAGUCAAGAUUAGUAUUUGUAGUUGCUGCCACCAGGAUGCCUACAGAGUUUUCAUGGGUCAGCAAGCAAUGAUUUUGAGGCUAAUUAUUACUGAAAACAACUCCAUCUUGUGGGAUUUUGAAUACAGUUCCUUUUUUUUACUGAUAACAGAAGUCUCUCACAUAGCAGAGAAAGGGUGGCUGCAUGAAGCAGGUGGGAGAAAAUUUCCAUUAGGGAAGAAGUUCUAGGCUUUAUAUAUUGAUAACUUUCUUGAAAUGUUUCACUAUUAUAUGUGAGCCUGAUCCUCCAGCGUAAUUCUGCAACAGAACAGUCAGUGGGAGGUUUGCAUUUUGAUUUCAGGGAAAAAAGGAAUCAUGACUUUGUUUCUUACAGCUCCCAAAAUCGAAUUCUGCUUUCCAUGUGCAAAUAAAGCUUUCACUGUCUACAGCUGGAUUUGUGUUAGGGUUUUCUGAAAUGGACUUUAGUCCACUGAGUUUUUCAGAACAGCCUUGGUAUUUUAGAUGACUGUUUUAUUUUUGUGUAUGUGUGUGCGCCGUUCUUCACAAAACGUUUCAAAAAGAAGCAGCAUGGUUCGUGUGAGUAAAUGAAGUGUGUCGGCCAGCUGAAGAGUAUUUUCCUAUCACUUUUCAAAUAUGGCUACACCGAAAACCAAAAUAAUAAGAAACAUUUCAUGUGAAGAACUUGGGGCUGAUUUCAAGCCACCUGACUUCACUUUGGUUUUGCUCUUUAAAAUUACCUAGAAAAUACCAUAAUCUUUUUUGUACAGCUGGAUGAGAGCCAGACCUCUGGCUCCAGAGGUAAAGGGCAAAAACUAAAAAAAUCCUGUCUGAACAGGCAACUCCACCCUCUUCCCCAAGUCAGCUUGGCCUUUUGACAAAAGUGAGCUCUGAAGCAAAUUCAUUCAUUGCCUUGUUUUUGGACAAAACUCAAGAUUCUGAACUCACACCACAGAGAGACCGUUUUCAUGAAAUCCAGCACACUAUUUUAUCACCCUUUGUCUUUCUCUAUAAUCAGAUAAAAAUAGCAUUUGGGCAGUGAUUAACCAGAUUAAUCAUUUUAAUUGCUUUUGUCACAGAGAAAAGCCUGCACUAGAAAUGCAUGGUUGUCAAGGAAGGUGAUUGCCUUAUGAGCAGAGUCAAGAAGCAAGUCUGUAGUGUAACACAGCAGUGGGGGGACCAUUCUAGCCAGGCGUCCAAAAUAAGAGGGGUUAAAUCAGCCCCUGAGAUGAUGUUUGAGCCCCUCCAGAAUCAACAGGAGGGAUUAGCAAAGAAUUCCACAGAGACAAGAAAAUAGGGGGAACUGUCUGUACUGUACUGUCUAUACUCCCAAAAUAGACUGAAGUUUUCGUCUCCCUCACAGUACCUUACUGCUUCUCUCUUUUUCUUCUUGAUGUUACUUCUUAUACCUCUCUAAACUCUCCAGGCCCUUUGGGAUCAUCCACCAUGGCACUAGAUGCAGGUUGCAUCCAGAUUCAGUGGGGUGGUGGGUGCAGAAAGCCAGAGGUCCUGACACCCUAUAGUUUGGUUUAGCAUCUGGUCAGAGCACACCCUGGCUUUCUUCUGCUUGUAUCUUAGCUUUUCCAGCUGCAGAAUCAAGGUAUAACCCUCUGUGUGUGGCACGGGAUAAAGAGGCUGAUUUCUUCCUGGCUUGGGAUAAGCCAGAAUAAGAAGGCAGACUCUGGAGAUCAGAAGUGCUGCCCCAUCUGCCAGUUCGGAUGCAACCUAAGACUUUCCAGAUGCAAGAAAGCCAUCAGAAGCUCCAAUAACUGGUUAUCUAAAGCUGCACCAGUAUAGUCAAUGAUGGGAAGUAAUGGUGAUACCUCCAAAAGGUGUCUAAUGUAUGCAUUGCAAUUACUUCUUUCCAGUGGCUGCAUAAGAAACCAAAGUAUGGAAGCACUAAAUAAUAAAGGAUCCAGGAGGAUCCAACUUCAUAUGCAGUGAGUCAUCUAGAAUGCCACAUGUACUAAUGUAAGAAGACUGAAUAUGGCCCAAAGGAUUUAGGAAAGCUUAGAAAAUAAUAUUAAGAAUGAACAGGUUCAAGAUAGAAAACAGUGGUACUUCAUAAAUUUCACUGAGUCCAGCUCUCAUCUCCACUUACAUGUAUGCAAGAUAAGGUGUGUGAGCAACCUCUGCAUUUCACCAGUCCAUUUCACUGUUGGAGACCAGUCUGAUCUUGUUACAAACUGGAGAAGUAGACCUGCCCCAAGUGGACAAAACUGGUUUUUAUCAGGAAGCGUCAGCACAUUAAAAUCAAAGCUUCAGUCUGAGAAGAUCCUACUUGCAGUGAAACCAGAGUUGUUCAUAGGCACAAGAUACAGCUCAGGGCAAAAUGGCAAGAUCUUCAUAGCAUUUCCUCCCCUGAGGGAAGACACAUGUUCCAGUCCCACUCAGGCAGCCCUUUGCAGCGUGGCUUGGUGCCCAAACCACUGGCUUACAGGAUCCUCUCGUGGAGCUCCUACACUCUUCAUAAAUAAUUGCAUAUUCACUGGGAUAGGAACAUCUUCCGUAAGGCAGGGGAAUGCUAUUUAUCACCUGCCACAGGAUCUCACUAAAUCAAGUCAUUAACUUCAGCAUUUCCAAUUACAGCUAAAGCAGUUUUCAUGAAGGAGAAUUCACCAAGUUGUAACAGUUCAUUAAAUUUACUCUCCUUUUAUCAUGACUAAAUGUUGAACUAUGUUUCUGUUUGGAUCUUUAACUUCAGGCAAUGCUAUCUAUAGUAGAAGAGGCUCUCACUCACCCACUUAAUGUGAUUGAAAUUAUACUAGAAAAAAAGGCUGGCCAGUAACCAGAUAUUUUGAUACAUGGCAUUUGUAAUGUAAAAAAUAGUAAGUUCUUAAUCUUGAAAGAGCGACAACCUGA